GUAGGUGGCAAGCGUUGUCCGGAAUUAUUGGGCGUAAAGCGCGCGCAGGUGGUUCUUUAAGUCUGAUGUGAAAGCCCCCGGGCUCAACCGGGGAGGGUCAUUGGAAACUGGGGAACUUGAGUGCAGGAGAGGAAAGUGGAAUUCCACGUGUAGCGGUGGAAUGCGUAGAUAUGUGGAGGAACACCAGUGGCGAAGGCGACUUUCUGGCCUGUAACUGACACUGAGGCGCGAAAGCGUGGGGAGCAAACAGGAUUAGAUACCCUGGUAGUCCACGCCGUAAACGAUGAGUGCUAAGUGUUGGGGGGUUUCCGCCCCUCAGUGCUGCAGCUAACGCAUUAAGCACUCCGCCUGGGGAGUACGGUCGCAAAGACUG
rnacentral:rRNA from 1 species